rnacentral:misc_RNA from 1 species
AAGUCGUAACAAGGUUUCCGUAGGUGAACCUGCGGAAGGAUCAUUAACACGUAUCCAACGUUAAACCCCCCGUGAACCUUCAUUGUGCUCCCCCACUGGUAAAUCAUCGCCGAACAGUUUUGAUUCAGGGACCUCUGCAUGGAGUGGGCAGCAGCGCGAGGCAAGUGGCCUGGCAUUCGAAAGAAUGGCGCAGUAACGAUCGCUAGAGGCCGACACGGCCGGCGACCGGGUCACUGGGCUCACGCCCCCCUAUCACCUUUGCAUGAAAACGGGCCUGCGCUUAAUUGUGCGGCCACCAAACUCGAACAACUGUUAACAAUGGAUAUCUUGGUUCUC